rnacentral:rRNA from 1 species
GAUUAGCCCGCGUCCGAUUAGCUAGUUGGUGAGGUAAUGGCUCACCAAGGCUCCGAUCGGUAGCUGUUCUGAGAGGAAGAUCAGCCACACUGGGACUGAGACACGGCCCAGACUCCUACGGGAGGCAGCAGUUGGGAAUCUUGGACAAUGGGGGAAACCCUGAUCCAGCCAUGCCGCGUGAGUGAUGAAGGCCUUCGGGUUGUAAAACUCUUUCGACGGGGACGAUAAUGACGGUACCCGUAGAAGAAGCUCCGGCUAACUUCGUGCCAGCAGCCGCGGUAAUACGAAGGGGGCUAGCGUUGUUCGGAAUUACUGGGCGUAAAGCGCGCGCAGGCGGUCUUCCAAGUCAGUGGUGAAAGCCCGGAGCUCAACUCCGGAAAUGCCAUUGAAACUGCUGGACUUGAGGAUGAGAGAGGUGAGUGGAAUUCCCAGUGUAGAGGUGAAAUUCGUAGAUAUUGGGAAG